rnacentral:rRNA from 1 species
UACGUAGGGUGCAAGCGUUGUCCGGAAUUAUUGGGCGUAAAGAGCGUGUAGGCGGCCAGGUAGGUCUGGUGUGAAAACUCGAGGCUUAACCUUGAGAUGUCAUCGGAAACCAUUUGGCUAGAGUCCGGAAGAGGAAAGUGGAAUUCCUGGUGUAGCGGUGAAAUGCGCAGAUAUCAGGAAGAACACCAAUGGCGAAAGCAGCUUUCUGGGACGGUACUGACGCUGAGACGCGAAAGCGUGGGGAGCGAACAGG